GUGGAUUGACACUGAGAUCAAACAGGAAGACAAAGAAUGGAUGGAGAAGUUGAAGCAGUGGGAUGCAGAGCACAAGGAGCGGGUGGAGAGGAGGUGCAAAGAGGAGGCAGCAAAGAAGGAGCGCGAAGCUGAAAGGCAAAUGAGGUGUGAAGCUGUGGCAAGGGAGGUGAGGGAGAAAAACUUGAAUGUGCUCAUUGUGCAAAAGCAGCAAUGGAGGAGAAUCCUGAUGCUUUGAGGAAGGGAAAGUGGCCUCAUUGCACUCAGUAGUAUCCUUCAGUUACUUGCUGUAUGGAUUAGUCAUGAACAAUGUUGUCAAGUAUUGGAUUUCUAGUGUACUGUCAUGUAUUGGACCAUUGUUAUGUCGUUCGGUUGCUAGCUCUAUCCUUUAGUCAUGAACUCGAUUUGUUAGUGUCAUUUAUUGCAUCACGUACUGGAUUAUUGUGCUGCUGAUUUA